GAACGCGAAGAACCUUACCAGGUCUUGACAUCCCUCUGACCGCUCUAGAGAUAGAGUUCUCCUUCGGGACAGAGGUGACAGGUGGUGCAUGGUUGUCGUCAGCUCGUGUCGUGAGAUGUUGGGUUAAGUCCCGCAACGAGCGCAACCCCUAUUGUUAGUUGCCAUCAUUUAGUUGGGCACUCUAGCGAGACUGCCGGUAAUAAACCGGAGGAAGGUGGGGAUGACGUCAAAUCAUCAUGCCCCUUAUGACCUGGGCUACACACGUGCUACAAUGGCUGGUACAACGAGUCGCAAGCCGGUGACGGCAAGCUAAUCUCUUAAAGCCAGUCUCAGUUCGGAUUGUAGGCUGCAACUCGCCUACAUGAAGUCGGAAUCGCUAGUAAUCGCGGAUCAGCACGCCGCGGUGAAUACGUUCCCGGGUCUUGUACACACC
rnacentral:rRNA from 1 species